rnacentral:rRNA from 1 species
UACGUAGGCAGCGAGCGUUGUUCGGAGCUACUGGGCGUAAAGAGUGCGUAGGCGGUUUUCUAAGUUUGGUGUGAAAUCUCCCGGCUUAACUGGGAGGGUGCGCCGAAGACUGGAAGGCUUGAGUAUGGGAGAGGUAAGCGGAAUUCCUGGUGUAGCGGUGAAAUGCGUAGAUAUCAGGAGGAACACCUGCGGUGUAGACGGCUUACUGGACCAUCACUGACGCUGAGGCACGAAAGCGUGGGUAGCAAACAGG